UACGAAGGGGGCUAGCGUUGCUCGGAAUCACUGGGCGUAAAGGGUGCGUAGGCGGAUCUUUAAGUCAGGGGUGAAAUCCUGGAGCUCAACUCCAGAACUGCCUUUGAUACUGAGGAUCUUGAGUCCGGGAGAGGUGAGUGGAACUCCGAGUGUAGAGGUGAAAUUCGUAGAUAUUCGGAAGAACACCAGUGGCGAAGGCGGCUCACUGGCCCGGUACUGACGCUGAGGUGCGAAAGCGUGGGGAGCAAACAGG
rnacentral:rRNA from 1 species